rnacentral:rRNA from 1 species
GACGAACGCUGGCGGCGUGGAUUAGGCAUGCAAGUCGAACGCGAACGCACUGCUUCGGCGGUGUAAGUAGAGUGGCGAACGGGUGAGUAACGCGUAGGUAAUUUACCUUUAAGUGGGGGACAGCCCCGGGAAACCGGGAUUAAUACCGCAUGUGUUCCUUCGGGAAUAAAGAUGGCCUCUGAUUCAAGCUGUCGCUUAAAGAUAAGCCUGCGUCCUAUUAGCUAGUUGGUUGGGUAAUGGCUGACCAAGGCUAUGAUAGGUAGGCGGCCUUAACGGGUGGUCGCCCACACUGGGAUUGAGAUACGGCCCAG